UACGAAGGGUGCAAGCGUUAAUCGGAAUUACUGGGCGUAAAGCGCGCGUAGGUGGUUUGAUAAGUUGGAUGUGAAAGCCCCGGGCUCAACCUGGGAAUUGCAUCCAAAACUGUCUGACUAGAGUACGGUAGAGGGUAGUGGAAUUUCCUGUGUAGCGGUGAAAUGCGUAGAUAUAGGAAGGAACACCAGUGGCGAAGGCGACUACCUGGACUGAUACUGACACUGAGGUGCGAAAGCGUGGGGAGCAAACAGG
rnacentral:rRNA from 2 species